rnacentral:tRNA from 1 species
CACUAAUUAAUUUAUCAAAAAUACCUGUUUUGGAUACAGAAUUUAACCCUAUCAUUAC